rnacentral:rRNA from 1 species
AGAUUGAACGCUGGCGGCAUGCCUAACACAUGCAAGUCGAACGGGAGUAGCAAUACUCUAGUGGCGGACGGGUGAGGAAUACGUAGGAAUUUGCCCUUAAGUGGGGGAUAACCCGGGGAAACCCGGAUUAAUACCGCAUGACCUCGAAAGAGCAAAGUGGGGGAUCGCAAGACCUCACGCUUUUGGAGAAGCCUACGUCGGAUUAGCUAGUUGGUGAGGUAAUGGCUCACCAAGGCGACGAUCCGUAACUGGUCUGAGAGGAUGAUCAGUCACACCGGAACUGAGACACGGUCCGGACUCCUACGGGAGGCAGCAGUGGGGAAUAUUGGACAAUGGGGCGCAAGCCUGAUCC